AUGUUUUGACAGCCCAUAUACUGUCAUUGGAAGGAUGCAGAGAAGAUCAGCAUGGCCCCAGGGCAAGGAUGACAUGUAAAUCUGUGUGUCCUAUGGCUUUUCU